UUAUGUUAUCGAUAGAAAAUUUGAAAGAUGGAGCAAUAUUUGAGUUUGAAAGGUUCUGAGGUCACGAAAUAUAGAAAUAAAUGUAGACUUUAUUUUGCAAUGUGAUAAAAUAUAUCGUGUUUUUAGUUGAAAAGUACCAAAGAUACUGCAUUUUUAUUGCACGAGCAAAAUUAGUACAAGUACGCAAAAGAAAUAUGUAAGAAUGUUAACUAAUGGCAAACAUCAAGUUCACCCCUCAACAAAUAGCAUCAUUCAGCGACAGGAUAAGCAAUGUUUUAGAACAUCCUUUAUGCAGAACAAUAUAUGAGCAAUAUUUAAAAAGACUAUGUGGUCCUGGUGAGAAUUAUGCAAUGAUGUUAUGGAUAAAAUCGGGUGAAACCAAUAUUGAUGAGAAUACACUAUUAAAUAUUAUUGAAGAUAUAGACGAAUUCAAUCAACAAGCCCUGGAAGAAAUAUCAGACCAUUCACUUAAAAUUGCUUACAUCAAACGAGAAUGUUGUAGAAUCUUGCAAACAUCACAUCAACCAUUCAUAGAUUAUUUAAACCGUUAUCAUUAAUUAUUUAUUAAAUACAAUAUUUCAUUAA